rnacentral:rRNA from 1 species
CCUACGGGUGGCAGCAGUGGGGAAUAUUGGACAAUGGGCGAAAGCCUGAUCCAGCCAUGCCGCGUGUGUGAAGAAGGCCUUCGGGUUGUAAAGCACUUUCAGUGGGGAAGAAAGCCUUGGGGCUAAUACCCUCGAGGAAGGACAUCACCCACAGAAGAAGCACCGGCUAACUCCGUGCCAGCAGCCGCGGUAAUACGGAGGGUGCGAGCGUUAAUCGGAAUUACUGGGCGUAAAGCGCGCGUAGGCGGUCUGAUAAGCCGGUUGUGAAAGCCCCGGGCUCAACCUGGGAACGGCAUCCGGAACUGUCAGGCUAGAGUGCAGGGGAGGAAGGUAGAAUUCCCGGUGUAGCGGUGAAAUGCGUAGAGAUCGGGAGGAAUACCAGUGGCGAAGGCGGCCUUCUGGACUGACACUGACGCUGAGGUGCGAAAGCGUGGGUAGCAAACAGGAUUAGAUACCCAGUAGUC